rnacentral:rRNA from 1 species
GCAUCGUCUUUUUCUGGAAAGAAUUUCGAUUGGGGAUGGGCUCGCGGCCUAUCAGUAUGUUGGUGAGGUAAUGGCUCCCCAAGGCGUCGACGGGUAGCCGGCCUGAGAGGGUGACCGGCCUCUUUGGGAGUGAGACACGGCCCAGACUCUUCCGGGAGGCAGCAGUGUGGAAUAUUGCACAAUGGGCGCAAGCCUGAUGCAGCAACCCUGCGUGAGGGACGACGGCCUUCGGGUUGUAAACCUCUUUUAGCAGGGAAGAAGCGAAAGUGACGGUACCUGCAGAAAAAGCGCCGGCUAACUACGUGCCAGCAGCCGCGGUAAUAGUAGGGCGCAAGCGUUAUCCGGAAUUAUUGGGCGUAAAGAGCUCGUAGGCGGUUUGUCGCGUCUGCUGUGAAAUCCGGAGGCUCAACCUCCGGCCUGCAGUGGGUACGGGCAGACUAGAGUGCGGUAGGGGAGAUUGGAAUUCCUGGUGUAGCGGUGGAAUGCGCAGAUAUCAGGAGGAACACCGAUGGCGAAGGCAGAUCUCUGGGCCGUAACUGACGCUGAGGAGCGAAAGGGUGGGGAGCAAACAGGCUUAGAUACCCUGGUAGUCCACCCCGUAAACGUUGGGAACUAGUUGUGGGGUCCAUUCCACGGAUUCCGUGACGCAGCUAACGCAUUAAGUUCCCCGCCUGGGGAGUACGGCCGCAAGGCUAAAACUCAAAGGAAUUGACGGGGACCCGCACAAGCGGCGGAGCAUGCGGAUUAAUUCGAUGCAACGCGAAGAACCUUACCAAGGCUUGACAUAUACGAGAACGGGCCAGAAAUGGUCAACUCUUUGGACACUCGUAAACAGGUGGUGCAUGGUUGUCGUCAGCUCGUGUCGUGAGAUGUUGGGUUAAGUCCCGCAACGAGCGCAACCCUCGUUCUAUGUUGCCAGCACGUAAUGGUGGGAACUCAUGGGAUACUGCCGGGGUCAACUCGGAGGAAGGUGGGGAUGACGUCAAAUCAUCAUGCCCCUUAUGUCUUGGGCUUCACGCAUGCUACAAUGGCCGGUACAAAGGGCUGCAAUACCGCGAGGUGGAGCGAAUCCCAAAAAGCCGGUCCCAGUUCGGAUUGAGGUCUGCAACUCGACCUCAUGAAGUCGGAGUCGCUAGUAAUCGCAGAUCAGCAACGCUGCGGUGAAUACGUUCCCGGGUCUUGUACACACCGCCCGUCAAGUCAUGAAAGUCGGUAACACCUGAAGCCGGUGGCCUAACCCUUGUGGAGGGAGCCGUCGAAGGUGGGAUCGGUAAUUAGGACUAAUCUA